rnacentral:rRNA from 1 species
AUUGAACGCUGGCGGAAUGCUUUACGCAUGCAAGUCGAACGGCAGCACGGACUUCGGUCUGGUGGCGAGUGGCGAACGGGUGAGUAAUGUAUCGGAACGUGCCCAGUCGUGGGGGAUAACGUAGUGAAAAUUACGCUAAUACCGCAUACGAUCCAUGGAUGAAAGCGGGGGAUCGCAAGACCUCGCGCGAUUGGAGCGGCCGAUAUCAGAUUAGGUAGUUGGUGGGGUAAAGGCCCACCAAGCCAACGAUCUGUAGCUGGUCUGAGAGGACGACCAGCCACACUGGAACUGAGACAUGGUACAGACUCCUACGGGAGGCAGCAGUGGGGAAUUUUGGACAAUGGGCGAAAGCCUGAUUCAGCCAUUCCGCGUGCAGGAUAAAGGCCCUCGGGUUGUAAACUGCUUUUGUACAGAACGAAAAGGUUUCUACUAAUACUAGGAGCUCAUGACGGUACUGUAAGAAUAAGCACCGGCUAACUACGUGCCAGCCGCCGCGGUAA